AUUGAACGCUGGCGGCAGGCCUAACACAUGCAAGUCGAGCGGAUGAAGGGAGCUUGCUCCUGGAUCCAGCGGCGGACGGGUGAGUAAUGCCUAGGAAUCUGCCUGGUAGUGAGGGAUAACGUCCGGAAACGGGCGCUAAUACCGCAUACGUCCUGAGGGAGAAAGUGGGGGAUCUUCGGACCUCACGCUAUCAGAUGAGCCUAGGUCGGAUUAGCUAGUUGGUGGGGUAAAGGCCUACCAAGGCGACGAUCCGUAACUGGUCUGAGAGGAUGAUCAGUCACACUGGAACUGAGACACGGUCCAGACUCCUACGGGAGGCAGCAGUGGGGAAUAUUGGACAAUGGGCGAAAGCCUGAUCCAGCCAUGCCGCGUGUGUGAAGAAGGUCUUCGGAUUGUAAAGCACUUUAAGUUGGGAGGAAGGGCAGUAAGUUAAUACCUUGCUGUUUUGACGUUACCAACAGAAUAAGCACCGGCUAACUUCGUG
rnacentral:rRNA from 1 species